rnacentral:pre_miRNA from 1 species
UCUUAUGAAUGAGCAAAAAAAGUGGUUUCUUGAGAUAGAAUCUACUUCUGGUGAAGAUGUUGGUUGUAAA